rnacentral:lncRNA from 1 species
GCGUGCUGCAGGAACAGCGGGUAUAUGACAUCAUGUAUUUGUCAAAACCCAUGGAGCCUCACAGCUCAAAGAUGAGCCCUAAUUUAAGCUAUAGGCCUUAGCUGAUAAUAAUGUAUUGGCAGCGGUUUAUUGAGUGUAACAGAUGCACCCCACUAAUGCAAGAUGUUAACAACAGCGGAAAAUAUGUGCUGAAGUGGAGGAAACAGAGUGUUAUAUGGGAAUGCUCUGGACUUUCUGCCCAAUUUUAUUUUGUAAAUAUACAUCUGCUCUGAAAUCAAAGUCUAUUCACUUUUGAAGACCUGACUCUAUCCCUCCUCUCCAUAAGACCCUUCAAUAGUGUCCCAUUGUUCCUAGAAUAAGGCAUCCUCAGCUUGGCAUUGAUGGUUUGGCCCCUCCCCAUUCCUCCAGCCUCAUGUCUCACCUAUUUUACCAACUUUCCUAUGUUCCUGACAUAUGUGCUUUACUUACACAAGCUCCUCAAAAGUGGCCAAUGUGUUUUGCUCAGUGCCUUGCACAUGCUGUUUCCUCUGAUUGGCAUUAAUAUUAUUUAUUUAUUUGAAAGGCAGAGAGACAAAGAAAGAAUGUGUUCAUGUGUGUGAGUCAGAGACGGAACUCUUCUAUCUGCUGGCUCAUUACCAAAAUGUCCACAACAGUCAAGACUGAUCAGGAGCAGAACAAGGACUCCACCCCAGGCAGCUUGGUUUGUGAUGCAGGUCCAUAUCUGAAACCCGAGGCAUGCUGGGUGCCCAGGACCUACUCCAGGCCUGCCGUGGUUGCUAAUGAUGGAUUAUGCGGGUGUUACCUCUUAGCUCCAGCUUCUCAGAGCACCAGUUUGGUGACCAUCUGGCUGGAGUGAUUUACUGAAAUGUGUCAGUUCUUGUUUCAAUGCAUGUAAGUUCGUCGCCAGUUUACUUCUGGCAGAUAUAUUGUGGAUGAGGCACUGCUACAGCCACGGCUGGUGGAGUUGUUUAUGUCCUGAAGCUGCAGUGCAUGGCCCCCUAGAGGGCUCUUCCUCCUGCUCAAGUUUGCUGUGGGUGGGGGAUUGGAGGUGGGGUGGAGGGGAUGAGCACUAAUGCAGCACCACCAAGACAUAGAUGUUGAUAAAGCGCGAGCUUCCAAAGGAAGACGUUUCUGGAAUAGUGCAUUUCAUUCCGCAAAGGGCCUGGAUGGAGAUGAAGAAAAAUGCUGGCCUUUUUCAAAGGGCCCCUAAAUUAUUUACAACUCGUCUCCAAAAUCUGCCCCCACAUCUUUUUUCUCCUUUGAACUUGCAACCCUUUAGGCACUAAUGACGUUCCAAUUUAAAAUGUAUUCUCAUUUUUUUAAUUUAAAACAUUUUAUUAGCAUUAAUUAUACAUACUUAAAGGGUAUAGUGUAAUUUUUUACUUGUGCU